GACGAACGCUGGCGGCGUGCUUAACACAUGCAAGUCGAACGGAAAGGCCCUGCUUUUGUGGGGUACUCGAGUGGCGAACGGGUGAGUAACACGUGAGUAACCUGCCCUUGACUUUGGGAUAACUUCAGGAAACUGGGGCUAAUACCGGAUAGGAGCUCCUGCUGCAUGGUGGGGGUUGGAAAGUUUCGGCGGUUGGGGAUGGACUCGCGGCUUAUCAGCUUGUGGGUGGGGUAGUGGCUUACCAAGGCUUUGACGGGUAGCCGGCCUGAGAGGGUGACCGGCCACAUUGGGACUGAGAUACGGCCCAGACUCCUACGGGAGGCAGCAGUGGGGAAUAUUGCACAAUGGGCGGAAGCCUGAUGCAGCAACGCCGCGUGCGGGAUGACGGCCUUCGGGUUGUAAACCGCUUUCGCCUGUGACGAAGCGUGAGUGACGGUAAUGGGUAAAGAAGCACCGGCUAACUACGUG
rnacentral:rRNA from 1 species